AUCUGCACGUUCAGAGUUCUGCAGAUUUUUCUGCUGGUGGGUAGGCAAUGGUAAGCAUCAGCCCUUUGAGCUUAAUCAUUCUAUAUUUGGGGAAGA